GAUGAACGCUAGCGGCAGGCUUAACACAUGCAAGUCGAGGGGUAGAAGGAGCUUGCUCCUUUGAGACCGGCGCACGGGUGCGUAACGCGUAUGCAAUCUACCUCUUGCAGAGGGAUAGCCCAGAGAAAUUUGGAUUAAUACCUCAUAGUAUGUGAGGAUGGCAUCAUUUUCACAUUAAAGUCACAACGGCAAAAGAUGAGCAUGCGUCCCAUUAGCUAGUUGGUAAGGUAACGGCUUACCAAGGCUACGAUGGGUAGGGGUCCUGAGAGGGAGAUCCCCCACACUGGUACUGAGACACGGACCAGACUCCUACGGGAGGCAGCAGUGAGGAAUAUUGGACAAUGGGCGCAAGCCUGAUCCAGCCAUGCCGCGUGCAGGAUGACGGUCCUAUGGAUUGUAAACUGCUUUUGUACAGGAAGAAACACUGGUUCGUGAACCAGCUUGACGGUACUGUAAG
rnacentral:rRNA from 1 species